rnacentral:lncRNA from 1 species
UUCCAAACUUAUCCGUUACAUGGGGAUAUGUCACUUGUUUGGCACACAGGGAGUGCAGUGUAUAAAGGACUGUGGAGAAUGAAGCAGAAGGAACACCAGUCUGGGGCACUAGAGGACAUGCCUCGUGGACAUGCAUGUGGACAGUUACAGAUAGCCUGCUGGGGUCAAUUCUGAAAGCAAUUUAUGACAACUCAGCCUGUGGCUCCCCUCACAACAGCCCGUCAGGUGGGUAAUUCUCCCAGCCUGAGCAUCAAAGCAAGCUGUCCCCUCACAAGUUGGUUUCUGCAAGUCCAGAGGCCUGCAGGAAAGCUGACACCACCCCAGCUGCAGAGCAUGUGACCCAUUUCUGACCAAUGAGAUGCACCAGUUCUUCAGCUGGAUAAGGCUCCAGAAGUGACACUUUUUCUUGGAUGCAGACAUGUGGAAAUUGCUACCUCUAUCCUGUUACUCACUGUAAGGAUGGCGCUAACAGUGUGGGGGAGGUUUGAGAUGAGUAAAUCACAGGGUGACAGAGCAGAAGAGUAGACAAAUCAGCUUGGGAGCCCAUGCUAUUGCUGGGCUUGUGGGUGUGGG